AGAAAUUAUAAAUAUAAUUAGAGAACAAUUUAAUAUUUGAAACCGAAAGCAAUCGGUUUCUAAAUUACUUUCAAUUAGAAACCGACAUAAAUCGGUUUCUAAAUAUAAUAAAAGAAAAUAGAAACCGAUAGGAAUCGGUUUCUAACGUUUUAAGUAAAAUUUGAAACCGAAAACAAUCGGUUUCUAAAUUUAUUGAGUAAUUAGAAACCGAAAGGAAUCGGUUUCUAUUUUAUUUUAAAAUUUAGUAAAUAAAAUAGAAAUUAUAUUACUUUUGAAACCGAUAUAAAUCGGUUUCUAAAUUGUUAGGUAAUUAGAAACCGAUAUGAAUCGGUUCCUAAUUUAUCCUUAAAAUUUAAUAAAUAAAAUUAAUGAUUAGAUUUAUUUUGAAACCGAAAUAAAUCGGUUUCUAAAUAUAACAAAGGAAAAUUGAAACCGAUAGGAAUCGGUUUCUA
rnacentral:misc_RNA from 1 species